rnacentral:rRNA from 1 species
UUAGAGUUUGAUCCUGGCUCAGGAUGAACGCUAGCGGCAGGCUUAACACAUGCAAGUCGAGGGGCAGCAGGGAGUAGCAAUACUCUGCUGGCGACCGGCGCACGGGUGCGUAACGCGUAUGUAACCUACCUUAAACAGGGGAAUAACUCAGGGAAACUUGAACUAAUGCCCCAUAUUCUUGCGGGAUCGCAUGGUCCUGCAAGGAAAGCCUUGGUGGUUUUAGAUGGGCAUGCGUGACAUUAGGUAGUUGGCGGGGCAACGGCCCACCAAGCCGACGAUGUCUAGGGGAGCUGAGAGGCUUAUCCCCCACACUGGUACUGAGACACGGACCAGACUCCUACGGGAGGCAGCAGUGAGGAAUAUUGGUCAAUGGACGGAAGUCUGAACCAGCCAUGCCGCGUGAAGGAAGAAUGCCCUAUGGGUUGUAAACUUCUUUUGUUCGAGAGUAAUAAGCGGGAUGCGUCCCGUGAUGAGAGUAUCGGACGAAUAAGCAUCGGCUAACUCCGUGCCAGCAGCCGCGGUAAUACGGAGGAUGCAAGCGUUAUCCGGAUUUAUUGGGUUUAAAGGGUGCGUAGGCGGACGACUAAGUCAGCGGUGAAAUAUCCCGGCUCAACCGGGAGGCUGCCGUUGAUACUGGUCGCCUUGAGUACGAACGGCGCCGGCGGAAUAUGUAAUGUAGCGGUGAAAUGCAUAGAUAUUACAUAGAACACCGAUCGCGAAGGCAGCUGGCGAGGACGUCACUGACGCUGAGGCACGAAGGCGUGGGGAUCAAACAGGAUUAGAUACCCUGGUAGUCCACGCAGUAAACGAUGAUAACUUGUUGUCGGCGAUAGACAGUCGGUGACAAAGCGAAAGCGAUAAGUUAUCCACCUGGGGAGUACGACCGCAAGGUUGAAACUCAAAGGAAUUGACGGGGGCCCGCACAAGCGGAGGAACAUGUGGUUUAAUUCGAUGAUACGCGAGGAACCUUACCCGGGCUCGAACGGCUGGUGAACGAUACAGAGAUGUAGAGGUCCUUCGGGACGCCAGUCGAGGUGCUGCAUGGUUGUCGUCAGCUCGUGCCGUGAGGUGUCGGCUCAAGUGCCAUAACGAGCGCAACCCUUGUCACUAGUUACCAGCAUUCAGGAUGGGGACUCUAGUGAGACUGCCACCGCAAGGUGAGAGGAAGGAGGGGAUGACGUCAAAUCAGCACGGCCCUUACGUCCGGGGCGACACACGUGUUACAAUGGUUGCUACAGAGGGAAGCCACCCGGCGACGGGGAGCAAAUCUCGAAAAGCAGCCUCAGUUCGGACUGGAGUCUGCAACCCGACUCCACGAAGCUGGAUUCGCUAGUAAUCGCGCAUCAGCCAUGGCGCGGUGAAUACGUUCCCGGGCCUUGCACACACCGCCCGUCA